GACGUAGGUGGCGAACGUUAUCCGGAAUUAUUGGGCGUAAAGGGUGCGUAGAUGGCCUGAUAAGUUAGCAGUGGGAAAUCGAGGCUCAACCUCGUGGAAGCUGGUAAUACUGUCAGGCUCGAGUGCAGGAGAGGUUAACGGAACUCCAUGUGGAGCGGUAAAAUGUGUAGAUAUAUGGAAGAACAUCAAUAACGGCGAAGGCAGUUAACUAUUCUGUUACUGACGUUGAGGCACGAAAGCGUGGGGAGCAAAGCGG
rnacentral:rRNA from 1 species